AGCCUCGGAAACGUGGAAAGAACAUUUGUGGUAAAAACAUCCGGGUCCUACAUACAUCCGGGUCCUACAUCCGGGCCUCCUGGAAAAGAUGGCCGCCAUUUUAGCGCAGUGACGCGGCUAAGCCUCGCGGUGGUGCUUCGGAACAGCUAUCACCUCAAGCUGGCAGAUACUGCUACAGCGACGUCGAUUGCGACGCGUACAGCUACUGUGACGCCCAGGUCUUCGGCCAGUACGGAAAGUGCGUGCGGGACAGUGACCGCCCAACCAGACUAAGGAGGACCUAUUGCUACUCUGAUAAUGACUGUGGCCCCUCCACGUUUUGUGACACAAUAACGUACGGAAGAUUCUACUUCGGUGGGGGAAUCUGCAGA